rnacentral:rRNA from 1 species
UUGAACGCUGGCGGCAGGCCUAACACAUGCAAGUCGAGCGGUAACACAGAGAGCUUGCUCUCGGGUGACGAGCGGCGGACGGGUGAGUAAUGUCUGGGAAACUGCCUGAUGGAGGGGGAUAACUACUGGAAACGGUAGCUAAUACCGCAUAACGUCGCAAGACCAAAGUGGGGGACCUUCGGGCCUCAUGCCAUCAGAUGUGCCCAGAUGGGAUUAGCUAGUAGGUGGGGUAACGGCUCACCUAGGCGACGAUCCCUAGCUGGUCUGAGAGGAUGACCAGCCACACUGGAACUGAGACACGGUCCAGACUCCUACAGGAGGCAGCAGUGGGGAAUAUUGCACAAUGGGCGCAAGCCUGAUGCAGCCAUGCCGCGUGUGUGAAGAAGGCCUUCGGGUUGUAAAGCACUUUCAGCGGGGAGGAAGGCGGUGAGGUUAAUAACCUCAUCGAUUGACGUUACCCGCAGAAGAAGCACCGGCUAACUCCGUGCCAGCAGCCGCGGUAAUACGGAGGGUGCAAGCGUUAAUCGGAAUUACUGGGCGUAAAGCGCACGCAGGCGGUCUGUCAAGUCGGAUGUGAAAUCCCCGGGCUCAACCUGGGAACUGCAUUCGAAACUGGCAGGCUAGAGUCUUGUAGAGGGGGGUAGAAUUCCAGGUGUAGCGGUGAAAUGCGUAGAGAUCUGGAGGAAUACCGGUGGCGAAGGCGGCCCCCUGGACAAAGACUGACGCUCAGGUGCGAAAGCGUGGGGAGCAAACAGGAUUAGAUACCCUGGUAGUCCACGCCGUAAACGAUGUCGAUUUGGAGGUUGUGCCCUUGAGGCGUGGCUUCCGGAGCUAACGCGUUAAAUCGACCGCCUGGGGAGUACGGCCGCAAGGUUAAAACUCAAAUGAAUUGACGGGGGCCCGCACAAGCGGUGGAGCAUGUGGUUUAAUUCGAUGCAACGCGAAGAACCUUACCUGGUCUUGACAUCCACAGAACUUUCCAGAGAUGGAUUGGUGCCUUCGGGAACUGUGAGACAGGUGCUGCAUGGCUGUCGUCAGCUCGUGUUGUGAAAUGUUGGGUUAAGUCCCGCAACGAGCGCAACCCUUAUCCUUUGUUGCCAGCGGUUAGGCCGGGAACUCAAAGGAGACUGCCAGUGAUAAACUGGAGGAAGGUGGGGAUGACGUCAAGUCAUCAUGGCCCUUACGACCAGGGCUACACACGUGCUACAAUGGCAUAUACAAAGAGAAGCGACCUCGCGAGAGCAAGCGGACCUCAUAAAGUAUGUCGUAGUCCGGAUUGGAGUCUGCAACUCGACUCCAUGAAGUCGGAAUCGCUAGUAAUCGUAGAUCAGAAUGCUACGGUGAAUACGUUCCCGGGCCUUGUACACACCGCCCGUCACACCAUGGGAGUGGGUUGCAAAAGAAGUAGGUAGCUUAACCUUCGGGAGGGCGCUUACCACUUUGUGAUUCAUGACUGGGGUG